AACGAACGCUGGCGGCAUGCCUAACACAUGCAAGUCGAACGAAGCCUUCGGGCUUAGUGGCGCACGGGUGCGUAACACGUGGGAAUCUGCCCUUCGGUUCGGAAUAACAGUUAGAAAUGACUGCUAAUACCGGAUGAUGACGUAAGUCCAAAGAUUUAUCGCCGAAGGAUGAGCCCGCGUAGGAUUAGGUAGUUGGUAGGGUAAUGGCCUACCAAGCCGACGAUCCUUAGCUGGUCUGAGAGGAUGAUCAGCCACACUGGGACUGAGACACGGCCCAGACUCCUACGGGAGGCAGCAGUGGGGAAUAUUGGACAAUGGGCGAAAGCCUGAUCCAGCAAUGCCGCGUGAGUGAUGAAGGCCUUAGGGUUGUAAAGCUCUUUUACCAGGGAUGAUAAUGACAGUACCUGGAGAAUAAGCUCCGGCUAACUCCGUGCCAGCAGCCGCGGUAAAUAGCGUACGU
rnacentral:rRNA from 1 species